GUGCUCGCUUCGGCAGCACAUAUACUAAAAUUGGAACGAUACAGAGAAGAUUGGCGUGGCCCCUGCACAAGGGUGACACGCAAAUUCGUGAAGCGUUUCAUAUUUUA
ensembl:snRNA U6 U6 spliceosomal RNA